CAGACAGCUAGAAAAUGCUUGGCAGAGAGCUCGCAUUCUACGGAUACUAGUCGGUCAAAGUAAAUGCAUUAUUACAGGCGCUAUAAAUAAACUAACGCAAAAACCUUAUACGCAUCUUUUUUGUUGCGGUUGAUAGUUUGAUGUUAAACUCACAUUUGCGAAGAUUUAAUUCCUUUGCAAUGUUGAAAAUAAGUUAUGUUUCACUCCACGCUGUUGCAAACGUUCUUUCAGGGUUGUCGUCUAUGCUCUUCUCACACAAAGCUUGACUGUGGAUUUCUGAAUGGAAUCGUCUGGUUUUCCCUGAAGCCAAAAUAGAGGACUCCAUAAUACACACCAAUUGGUUGUUACACAAUGCCAUUCAAGUGACUGGCCAAUUGACGUUCAGAUAGCUCUUUGGACCCCAGUGACCAAUGAAGUUAGACACCACCAAUGGAGAGUGCACUGUAACGAUGGGAGAACAUCACAACCAAACUCGCGAUGCAUUAGGACCCAUCUGGGAAUGGCGGUUGAUUGCAGACCUCUUUUAGAACUGUUGUGUCACACUGAAAGCAGCGUUCAGGCGGAGUUUGUGUAUCGAAUAACUAAUAAACAGAGUCGUAUUUCAGUCAUAUAGUACUUCAUGUAAAUGACCACAAACUGUAUAAAGCCACGUUUUCUAUGUUAUUUUCUAAUUUUCUGUCGAUAAGACUAUCCAGGUGUGAGUCACUAUAGUGACCUUUGGCGUGCGUCAGACUUUCCUAUUAAUUCCAAUGAAACCUGGGCUCAAGCAGUGCUGCUCGGUGAGAGUCUGUCGCUGCUCAACUUAAAAUUGCGACUCACACCCAAGAACACUUCAUAAAGUGUCUCGCAACUGGAUCAUGCAGGCAAAAGUUACUCAUCCACUGUAACAGCUAAAACCUACUGUUUUCUCCACGCCCCAUUGUAACAGCUACUGUUUUCUCCACGCCCCAUUGUAACAGCUAAAAACCUACUGUUUUCUCCACGCCCCACUGUAACAGCUAAAAACCUACUGUUUUCUCCACGUCCCAUUGUAACAGCUACUGUUUUCUCCACGCCCCAUUGUAACAGCUAAAAACCUACUGUUUUCUCCACGCCCCACUGUAACAGCUAAAAACCUACUGUUUUCUCCACGUCCCAUUGUAACAGCUACUGUUUUCUCCACGCCCCGUUGUAAGAGCUACUGUUUUCUCCACGCCCCGUUGUAAGAGCUACUGUUUUCUCCACGCCCCGUUGUAAGAGCUACUGUUUUCUCCACGCCCCGUUGUAAGAGCUACUGUUUUCUCCACGCCCCGUUGUAACAGCUACUGUUUUCUCCACGCCCCAUUGUAACAGCUACUGUUUUCUCCACGCCCCAUUGUAACAGCUACUGUUUUCUCCACGCCCCAUUGUAACAGCUACUGUUUUCUCCACGCCCCAUUGUAACAGCUACUGUUUUCUCCACGCCCCAUUGUAACAGCUACUGUUUUCUCCACGCCCCACUGUAACAGCUAAAAACCUACUGUUUUCUCCACUCCCCAUUGUAACAGCUAAAACCUACUGUUUUCUCCACUCCCCACUGUAACAGCUAAAAACCUACUGUUUUCUCCACUCCCCAUUGUAACAGCUAAAACCUACUGUUUUCUCCACGCCCCAUUGUAACAGCUAAAAACCUACUGUUUUCUCCACGCCCCAUUGUAACAACUACUGUUUUCUCCACACCCCAUUGUAACAGCUACUGUUUUCUCCACACCCCGUUGUAACAGCUACUGUUUUCUCCACGCCCCGUUGUAAGAGCUACUGUUUUCUCCACGCCCCGUUGUAAGAGCUACUGUUUUCUCCACGCCCCGUUGUAAGAGCUACUGUUUUCUCCACGCCCCGUUGUAAGAGCUACUGUUUUCUCCACGCCCCAUUGUAACAGCUACUGUUUUCUCCACGCCCCAUUGUAACAGCUACUGUUUUCUCCACGCCCCAUUGUAACAGCUACUGUUUUCUCCACGCCCCAUUGUAACAGCUACUGUUUUCUCCACGCCCCAUUGUAACAGCUACUGUUUUCUCCACGCCCCAUUGUAACAGCUACUGUUUUCUCCACGCCCCAUUGUAACAGCUACUGUUUUCUCCACGCCCCAUUGUAACAGCUACUGUUUUCUCCACGCCCCAGUGUAGCUCCCCAGUUAGUUGCUAUUGAGACUAACAUGUCUGAGCUGUCUCAGUAGCUCUAUCACAGACACCUCCCAGUAACCUCCCUGUGACCUCCCUGUGACCUUGAGUCUCAUCUCCAGAUCAUUACUCCCUCUGGCCUCUCUCACUACCCUCACAGGACUUCUGAUUGGUCAAGGAAAUGAGCUCAGAAAUCGCAUUGGCCGUGGACAACGGUGUGAGGUGCCCCAGCUGCUUUGUCCUCAGUCAGAAUAAUGUGAUCGCCUCUUUAAGACACCUGGAAGUCAUUUAGGAGCUAUAUCGGUAACCAAAAGUGCCAGCAUAGAUACAGAAUCAGACUAAGCCUCAAUGCAUCCCCUUAGCCUUGAUUGAGGGAUAGAUCACACUGUUGAUUAUAGCUGAAGAAAUCCAGUCCAAAAGACAAGUCCUUGCUGGUAUGUUUCCUGAUCCAGCAUGUUGCUGACUAGCAUGUUCUGCUCUGCGCAAGGACCAUUCAUUCAGGUACUGUAUCACUGAGUUAUAGACUGCAGUUUAUAGGCUGAGCAUGCAGUACGUGCUUGAUUAGCUUAGGUCUGUGAGAUAACAGAGAUAAAACUAACUGAAUAUUUCCGUACUGUCCGCUGAGCUCAGCAUUGUUAGAUC
ensembl:lncRNA